rnacentral:rRNA from 1 species
CGUCUAAGCAGUAAGGCUGAGUAUUAGGCAAAUCCGGUACUCGUUAAGGCUGAGCUGUGAUGGGGAGAAGACAUUGUGUCUUCGAGUCGUUGAUUUCACACUGCCGAGAAAAGCCUCUAGAUAGAAAAUAGGUGCCCGUACCGCAAACCGACACAGGUAGUCAAGAUGAGAAUUCUAAGGUGAGCGGUCGAACGCUCGUUAAGGAACUCGGCAAAAUGACCCCGUAACUUCGGGAGAAGGGGUGCUCUUUAGGGUUAACGCCCAGAAGAGCCGCAGUGAAUAGGCCCAAGCGACUG